UCGUUGUAUUUUACGCACUCUGCUGGCAGCGCUGUCGGCGUCGCUGCCAGCUGCCAGCAGCGAGCGGUACACUUGCAACUAUCC
ensembl:ncRNA mir-4957 mir-4957 stem loop